UUUCAUCGUGAUUAACAAUAGUUCAUCAUCUAAGUCUUCUUCCUCCAUUUCAUUCGACAUUGGAUUCUCGAUAUUUACUAUUUUUGAAGGACUCUCAAUGGGUUUUUCCUAAUUUUAUACCUAUUUAGACUCUCUCCCCAAUAAUGACUAGAUAAUAGAAAUUUAGUGAAGAGGUUUCAAUCAUUCUCUCAUAAAGUAGGGGAUCAAUU
rnacentral:lncRNA from 1 species